AUUGAACGCUGGCGGAAUGCUUUACACAUGCAAGUCGAACGGCAGCACGGGGGCAGCCCUGGUGGCGAGUGGCGAACGGGUGAGUAAUACAUCGGAACGUGCCCGGUCGUGGGGGAUAACGUAGCGAAAGUUACGCUAAUACCGCAUACGAUCUGAGGAUGAAAGCGGGGGACCUUCGGGCCUCGCGCGAUCGGAGCGGCCGAUGUCAGAUUAGGUAGUUGGUGGGGUAAAGGCCUACCAAGCCGACGAUCUGUAGCUGGUCUGAGAGGACGACCAGCCACACUGGGACUGAGACACGGCCCAGACUCCUACGGGAGGCAGCAGUGGGGAAUUUUGGACAAAGGGCGCAAGCCUGAUCCAGCCAUUCCGCGUGCAGGACGAAGGCCUUCGGGUUGUAAACUGCUUCUGUACGGAACGAAAAGGCUCUGGCUAAUACCUGGGGCUCAUGACGGUACCGUAAGAAUAAGCACCGGCUAACUACGUG
rnacentral:rRNA from 1 species